CGGUGUGUCUAAUACAUGCAAGUCGAACGAACCUUUAUGGUUAGUGGCGGACGAGUGAGUAACGCGUUGGAACCUGCCCCAUACUCGGGGAUAAGCACUGGAAACGGUGUCUAAUACCGGAUAGUCCCGCAAGGGUAAAGAUUUAUCGGUAUGGGAGGGGCCUGCGUAUCAUCAGCUUGUUGGUAAGGUAACGGCUUACCAAGGCUACGACGAUUAGCUGGUCUGAGAGGAUGAUCAGCCACGAUGGAACUGAGACACGGUCCAUACUCCUACGGGAGGCAGCAGUAAGGAAUCUUCCACAAUGGGCGAAAGCCUGAUGGAGCAACACCGCGUGAUUGAUGAAGCCCUUCGGGGUGUAAAGAUCUUUUCUGAGGGAAGAAUUAUGACGGUACCUUAGGAAUAAGC
rnacentral:rRNA from 1 species